GACGAACGCUGGCGGCGUGCUUAACACAUGCAAGUCGAACGGAAAGGCCCUGCUUUUGUGGGUUGCUCGAGUGGCGAACGUGUGAGUAACACGUGAGUAACCUGCCCUUGACUUUGGGAUAACUUCAGGAAACUGGGGCUCAUACCGGAUAGGAGCUCCUGCUGCAUGGUGGGGGUUGGAAAGUUUCGGCGGUUGGGGAUGGACUCGCGGCUUAUCAGCUUGUUGGUGGGGUAGUGGCUUACCAAGGCUUUGACGGGUAGCCGGCCUGAGAGGGUGAGCGGGCAAAUUGGGACUGAGAUACGGACCAGAAUGCAACGGGAGGCAGCAGUGGGGAAUAUUGCACAAUGGGCGGAAGCAUGAUGCAGAAACGCCGCGUGCGGGAUGACGGCCUUCGGGUUGUAAACAGCUUUAGCAUGUGACGAAGCGUGAGUGACGGUAAUGGGUAAAGAAGCACCGGCUAACUACGUG
rnacentral:rRNA from 1 species